rnacentral:rRNA from 1 species
GAUGAACGCUGGCGGCGUGCCUAAUACAUGCAAGUCGAGCGAACAGAUGAGGAGCUUGCUCCUCUGACGUUAGCGGCGGACGGGUGAGUAACACGUGGAUAACCUACCUAUAAGACUGGGAUAACUUCGGGAAACCGGAGCUAAUACCGGAUAAUAUAUUGAACCGCAUGGUUCAAUAGUGAAAGACGGUUUUGCUGUCACUUAUAGAUGGAUCCGCGCCGCAUUAGCUAGUUGGUAAGGUAACGGCUUACCAAGGCAACGAUGCGUAGCCGACCUGAGAGGGUGAUCGGCCACACUGGAACUGAGACACGGUCCCGACUCCUACGGGAGGCAGCAGUAGGGAAUCUUCCGCAAUGGGCGGAAGCCUGACGGAGCAACGCCGCGUGAGUGAUGAAGGUCUUCGGAUCGUAAAACUCUGUUAUUAGGGAAGAACAAAUGUGUAAGUAACUAUGCACGUCUUGACGGUAACUAAUCAGAAAGCCACGGCUAACUACGUG